rnacentral:rRNA from 1 species
GACGGAGGAUGCAAGUGUUAUCCGGAAUCACUGGGCGUAAAGCGUCUGUAGGUGGUCAACUAAGUCAACUGUUAAAUCUUGAGGCUCAACCUCAAAAUCGCAGUCGAAACUAUUAGACUAGAGUAUAGUAGGGGUAAAGGGAAUUUCCAGUGGAGCGGUGAAAUGCGUAGAUAUCAGGAGGAACACCUGUGGCGAAAGCGGCUCACUGGACCACAACUGACGCUGAGGCGCGAAAGCUAGGGGAGCAAACAGG